GACGAACGCUGGCGGCGUGCUUAACACAUGCAAGUCGAACGGUGAAAGGGAGCUUGCUCCCUGGAUCAGUGGCGAACGGGUGAGUAACACGUGGGCAACCUGCCCCAGACUUCGGGAUAACGCUUCGAAAGAGGUGCUAAUACCGGAUACGAACUCCUUGGGCAUCCUUGGAGUUGGAAAGUUUUUCGGUCUGGGAUGGGCCCGCGGCCUAUCAGCUUGUUGGUGAGGUAACGGCUCACCAAGGCGACGACGGGUAGCCGGCCUGAGAGGGCGACCGGCCACACUGGGACUGGGACACGGCCCAGACUCCUACGGGAGGCAGCAGUGGGGAAUAUUGCGCAAUGGGCGAAAGCCUGACGCAGCAACGCCGCGUGAGGGAUGACGGCCUUCGGGUUGUAAACCUCUUUCAGCAGGGAAGAAGCGAAAGUGACGGUACCUGCAGGAGAAGCACCGGCUAACUACGUGCCAGCAGCCGCCGUAAGAC
rnacentral:rRNA from 1 species